rnacentral:piRNA from 1 species
UAUAAGGUCAUUAUUGCUGCUGCCA